UACCAGCACCCCGAGUGGUCGGGACGAUUAUUGGGCCUAAAGCAUCCGUAGCCGGUUCUGCAAGUCCCCCGUUAAAUCCAGCUGCUCAACAGAUGGGCCGCGGAGGAUACUACAGAGCUAGGAGGCAGGAGAGGCAAGCGGUACUCAGUGGGUAGGGGUAAAAUCCGUUGACCCAUUGAAGACCACCAGUGGCGAAGGCGGCUUGCCAGAAUGCGCUCGACGGUGAGGGAUGAAAGCUGGGGGAGCAAACCGG
rnacentral:rRNA from 1 species